AUUGAACGCUGGCGGCAGGCCUAACACAUGCAAGUCGAGCGGGGUUUUCGGACCUAGCGGCGGACGGGUGAGUAAUGCGUAGGAAGCUACCCGAUAGAGGGGGAUACCAGUUGGAAACGACUGUUAAUACCGCAUAAUGUCUACGGACCAAAGUGUGGACCUUCGGGCCACAUGCUAUCGGAUGCGCCUACGUGGGAUUAGCUAGUUGGUGGGGUAAUGGCUCACCAAGGCGACGAUCCCUAGCUGGUUUGAGAGGAUGAUCAGCCUCACUGGAACUGAGACACGGUGCAGACUCCUACGGGAGGCAGCAGUGGGGAAUAUUGGACAAUGGGCGCAAGCCUGAUCCAGCCAUGCCGCGUGUGUGAAGAAGGCCUUCGGGUUGUAAAGCACUUUCAGUAGGGAGGAAGAGUUGAGUGUUAAUAGUACUCAGCUUUGACGUUACCUACAGAAGAAGCACCGGCUAACUCUGUGCCAGCAGCCGCAGUAACAC
rnacentral:rRNA from 1 species